rnacentral:rRNA from 1 species
AGUGAACGCUGGCGGUAGGCCUAACACAUGCAAGUCGAACGGCAGCACAGUAAGAGCUUGCUCUUACGGGUGGCGAGUGGCGGACGGGUGAGGAAUACAUCGGAAUCUACUUUUUCGUGGGGGAUAACGUAGGGAAACUUACGCUAAUACCGCAUACGACCUACGGGUGAAAGCAGGGGAUCUUCGGACCUUUCGCGAUUGUAUGAGCCGAUGUCGGAUUAGCUAGUUGGCGGGGUAAAGGCCCACCAAGGCUACGAUCCGUAGCUGGUCUGAGCGGAAGAUCAGGCAGACUGGCAGUGAGAAAGGCCAGAGACUCUGACAGUAGGCAGCAGUGGAGAAUAUUACGGAAGGGGGGAGAGCGUGAUCCAGCCAUACCGCGUGAGGGAAGAAGCAGUUAGGGUGCGAAAACCAUGUUGUUGGGAAAGAAGAACAACUGUUUAAUCGCGGACGAUUCUGACGGUACCCGAAGAAGAAGCACCGGCUAACUUCGUG